UCUAAAAGAAAAUAGAUGGGAAAUUAAAUGGGUUGUUGUGGCAAAAAUGUUUAAAUAUAAGUGAUUAAGGUGGUUUAGUGCAGCUUGUAAAUAGUAACUUAAGAAACAUAAAUAUAUUAUAUACACAUUCAUAUCAUCUUUCAUAAUCUAGUUUUUAUAUUGGAUCUUUUGGUUCGAUGUUGAAAUUAGAGACAUCCAAACAGUCUGGCAACGCCGCACUGUAAGCCUGGCUUGCAGGUUCGUUGAACAAUGGGCAAAAAAUAAAGAGCGAAAAAAAAGAGAAAAAGGUCAUUUUCAGUAGAAGAGCAGGUUUAAGACUUAGACUCUGUAUGUGGAACGGAAUGGUUCUCGGUCUAUUGUGCUCGAGGUAUAAUGACAACAAAAGGAGCUCAGCUUGAUAACAAUGGAGCUGUAUAUUAAUUAAUUCACGAACUGGUGUUAGAAAAAUGUACCAACAAACGUUAAUCUUCAAAGCCAGGAAGCUGCUUUCGAUUAAUAACUAAAAUAUAACACUUAAACAGUUAAUUAUGAAGUUUGGAUUAUUUAAAUUAAUGUUCAUUUACACACUAUCUGGCAAAUUUGACUUGUUGUGAAUUUCAUACCGCAAUUAAGUAAUAGCGUUUUUCGCAUUGGAGCCGGUUUCUCGUAGCCAAUGGCAGCUUAUGUGAGCUGCAGCUUAAAUCCUUCAGUAUUUAAUUAAACAAAAUUAAAAAGUUUAUUCAACUCCGAUCGGUUAUUAAACCAAUAUUUAAUGUGAACUUCAGUUUUAAACGCUUCAAUGCCAUUUUAGCCACUUAGAUGGAACUCCAAAAGUAAAUAUUAUGUGGCGGUGGCAAAUGGAGACAUUAAGAACUAAGGCACAUAAAUACGUAUGCAAAUGUAUAUAUAUACACAAAACAACAUAAAAAACCAGUUUUUUUUAUGAGAGUAAAGUGCUUUUAGUACUUGAGUUGCGAGGGUUGAAGUUGUAUAUGUGAUAAAGUGCUCAUUUAUUGCGCUACUUCCUUUCAAACAAUGCAUUAAAUACGAAAUAAACAAAAAAGAUAUCAGAUUUGC